rnacentral:rRNA from 1 species
UGGCCUCAAAUCAGGUAGGACUACCCGCUGAACUUAAGCAUAUCAAUAAGCGGAGGAAAAGAAACUAACAAGGAUUCCCCUAGUAACUGCGAGUGAAGCGGGAAAAGCGCAAAUUUAAAAUCUGGCGGUCUUUGGCCGUCCGAGUUG